UCCAAUCAGUGAAAUUGACCUUCCCGUGAAGAGGCGGGAAUACCACAAUAAGACGAGAAGACCCUAUGGAGCUUUAAUUAACUAACCCAAACUUAUGGAUACUAAAUACCUAUAAGGCAUAACAUAACACCAUUAUUAUGGGUUAGCAAUUUAGGUUGGGGUGACCUCGGAAUAUAAAAAAACUCCCGAGUGAUUAAAAUCUAGACCCACAAGUCAAAAUAUAACAUCACUUAUUGAUCCAAUAAUUUUUGAUCAACGGAACAAGUUACCCUAGGGAUAACAGCGCAAU
rnacentral:rRNA from 1 species